CAUAGACACCAUAGUUUUACCUGGUUUGUGGACGUUAGAAUAGAAUUUACAUUCUUAAUUGUAGCUUGCUGGCAUUUAUAUUUUGUGUAAUACUAAGAGGAAGAAGUCACAAUAAUCAACCAGCAACAUAUUUCUAUGUUAAGAACGGGAACCGAGCAGCAACCUUUCAGCUAACUUCUAAGAACCACUAUUCCGAAAAUCACAAUCCACGCCGCCGCAUGAACAACUCAGUUGCGAAGAGCUCUUGAUGAUUAUGGCGCGACGAGAGCAAACAGCGGAUGCAGAAACAUCCUUCAAAAUAUAAAGUCAUUUUUGUUUAUUAUAAUUACAAAUAAAGAGCAGGAUGCAGGGGCUUAAGCCUAAGCUGAUCCUUGCUGGGCGUUGCCGAGA